UACGUAGGUGGCAAGCGUUGUCCGGAUUUACUGGGCGUAAAGAGCGCGCAGGCGGUCGUCCAAGUCGCGUGUGAAAGCCCCCGGCUCAACUGGGGAGGGUCACGCGAUACUGGUCGACUCGAAGGCAGGAGAGGGUAGUGGAAUUCCCGGUGUAGUGGUGAAAUGCGUAGAUAUCGAGAGGAACACCUGCGGCGAAGGCGGGUUGCUGGGCUGACACUGACGCUGAAGUGCGAAAGCUAGGGGAGCGAACGGG
rnacentral:rRNA from 1 species